rnacentral:rRNA from 1 species
CGGCGGACGGGUGAGUAACGCGUGGGUAACCUGCCUCAUACAGGGGGAUAACAGUUGGAAACGGCUGCUAAUACCGCAUAAGCGCACAGUACCGCAUGGUACGGUGUGAAAAACUCCGGUGGUAUGAGAUGGACCCGCGUCUGAUUAGGUAGUUGGUGGGGUAACGGCCUACCAAGGCGACGAUCAGUAGCGGGUCUGAGAGGAUGAUCCGCCACACUGGGACUGAGACACGGCCCAG